rnacentral:rRNA from 1 species
UGCAAGUCGRAGGGCCGCAGGCCAGUGGCGCAAGGGUGAGUAAGGCGACGGUAACCAACCCCGCGGAUGGGCAUAGCCGGGGGAAACYCCGGGUAAUUCCCRGCGAYRUGRCGYCCCGGCAUCGGGGKGYCAYCAAAGAUUCAUCGCCGYGGGACGGGCCGUCGUGGUAUUAGSUGGUUGGCGGGGUGACGGCCCACCAAGSCUGCGAUGCCUACCGGGCGUGCGAGCGUGGCCCGGCACACUGGGACUGAGACACUGCCYAGACUCCUACGGGAGGCUGCAGUCGAGAAUCUUCGGCAAUGGGCGCAAGCCUGACCGAGCGACGCCGCGUGGAGGACGAAGGCCUUCGGGUUGUAAACUCCUGUCGAGGGGGAGGAAGCUUCGGUUGACCGAUCCCUGGAGGAAGCACGGGCUAAGUUCGUGCCAGCAGCCGCGGUAAGACGAACCGUGCGAACGUUAUUCGGAAUCACUGGGCUUAAAGCGCGUGUAGGCGGGUCGCUGCGUCGGCUGCUGAAAUCCCCCGGCUCAACCGGGGAACGGGCACCGAUACGAGCGGCCUGGAGGGGGGUAGGG